GUUGAAAUAGAGUUAUUCAUAAACUGCAGAGAUGAGAGCCUUCUUUCUCUUUACAGGACUUAGGGAGACCUAUGAAAAGAAGAUUUGAACUGGCUCUGAAAAAUGAACAGGGCUACUCUAGAAGCAAGAGAUGUAGAAAGCACGUUCCAGGAAGAAGCAUCUGUAUGCGUGGAUGGUGGAAUCGCACAGGAGAGACAAGGAGUGUCUCUCUUCCCCUGUCAUGGAAACCCAGGGGGCCGUCUGUUGACAUGAGGAACCACAAGAUUAUGGCUGCCUGAAUUCAAGAGUCACCAUAUCAACGACAAUUGCCCUAAAGCUCAGGAUCUACAUUCCUGGGAGAGAGUCUGAUCUGCUUAGCGAAGUUCACAAGGCCACACCUUGACUGGGGCGAUCUGGACCUCUUCCCUGAAGUGACCAUGAAGAAGGCUAGCAGCUACAUACCCCCCAAAACGGACACCUAGAUGUGGUCACCAAAAAAGGAGAGAAGAUUCUAGGUAGGCAAAAGCAGUACAUGUUUUAAGAUUCUAAAACCAAGACAUUUAUUUAUAAUUGCUCUAUAUAUGGCUUUGAUCAUUAAUAGCUAAAACAUUCAUAAAGGAGGAUAUUGUAACUAGCACUGACUUGUUAAGAAUAACAAAUAAGAUAAACAAGAAUAUUUCCUGUUUAUCCAAUUUCCCUUCUCCAUUAACUCCUUCUUCCUAAGCUUUCCACGGAGCAUGCAAAUCUCUUAUGCAAAAUCUCUUUGCACUUGAAUAUGUAUAGAGUACAAGCCAGGAGACCUAAACUUAUUUCCAAUUGCUUCUCUAAUAUGCUAGGAGAUCUUGACAUCUAGAAAUUUUUAAAAUUUUAAUUUUUUAUUUAUUAAACUUUUGAUUUUGUACUGGGGUAUAUCCAAUUAACAAUGUUAUGAUAGUUUUAGGUGAACAGCAAAGGGACUCAGCCAUACAUAUAUAUGUCUCCAUUCUCCCCCAAACUCCCCUCCUAUGGAGGCUGCCACAUAACAUUGAGCAGAGUUUCAUGUGCUACACAGUAGGUCCUUGUUGGGGGUUGAAGCUUUUUGAGGGUUUCGAUUCUUCAUUUGUAAAACGAAGGUAUUAGGGUACAGGAAGUCCCAGCGACUGCAUUCAUUCAGUGGUCAGAUGGUAGCAGGCAGAGUUCUCUGCUAUUGAUUCCUACCAGCCUUUUCCAGGGUCAGGCCACUCUUCAGAGGAGCCAGGGACCUGUGCUUACAAUCCCUGGAAGUUGACAGGUGGUCAGAGACUAUCAGGGCUCUGCUGAAGAGUUGGAACGAGUCCAAUCAUUCAUUCAUCCACUCA
rnacentral:lncRNA from 1 species